GAUGAACGCUGGCGGCGUGCCUAAUACAUGCAAGUCGAGCGAACGGACGAGAAGCUUGCUUCUCUGAUGUUAGCGGCGGACGGGUGAGUAACACGUGGAUAACCUACCUAUAAGACUGGGAUAACUUCGGGAAACCGUAGCUAAUACCGGAUAAUAUUUUGAACCGCAUGGUUCAAAAGUGAAAGACGGUCUUGCUGUCACUUAUAGAUGGAUCCGCGCUGCAUUAGCUAGUUGGUAAGGUAACGGCUUACCAAGGCAACGAUGCAUAGCCGACCUGAGAGGGGGAUCGGCCACACUGGAACUGAGACACGGUCCAGACUCCUACGGGAGGCAGCAGUAGGGAAUCUUCCGAAAUGGGCGAAAGCCUGACGGAGCAACGCCGCGUGAGUGAUGAAGGUCUUCGGAUCGUAAAACUCUGUUAUUAGGGAAGAACGUAUGUGUAAGUAACUGUGCACAUCUUGACGGUACCUAAUCAGAAAGCCACGGCCAACUACGUG
rnacentral:rRNA from 1 species